rnacentral:rRNA from 1 species
UUAAGCAUAUCAAUAAG